CAGUCGCCGCGGUAAUACGUAGGGCGCAAGCGUUGUCCGGAAUUAUUGGGCGUAAAGAGCUCGUAGGCGGUCUGUCGCGUCUGGUGUGAAAUCCCGAGGCUCAACCUCGGGCUUGCAUCGGGUACGGGCAGACUAGAGUGCGGUAGGGGAGACUGGAAUUCCUGGUGUAGCGGUGGAAUGCGCAGAUAUCAGGAGGAACACCGAUGGCGAAGGCAGGUCUCUGGGCCGCAACUGACGCUGAGGAGCGAAAGCGUGGGGAGCGAACAGGAUUAGAUACCCCUGUAGUCCCUGUCUCUUAUAC
rnacentral:rRNA from 1 species